GUCUCUGUAGUGUGUGUGCAUUGGACUUCUAAUCCAAAGGUCGUGGGUUUGAAUCCCACGUGGGAUG